UAACUUUUAUUUUGCAUGUGAUUUAUCUAGAUUAAUCUAUGCCCAGCUCUAAUUAGGAUAUUAGUAGUUUUUUAUAAACAUACCUUACAAAAACCAGUACUGGGGUGAAUCUUAAGACAAAACAUGUUAAAAUAUAUCAGUGCAAGAUGUUUUUAAAUUAAAGGUAUUGCGGAGGAUUUUCUUUUUCCGGGUGGAUCAUCAAGACUAUUGGUCCUCCUAGUUGUCAAUCAGGAGUGUUUCGCAAUUGCAUUUUUUAAAAAAGUGAAGAAGUCGGUUCUUUUCAAACAUUUGAGAAAAUCCUCCGCUACACCUUUAAGGCAGCUCAAACAUGCAUUUUAGUCUGGGACUUAUUUGGUCUGGGACUAUUCUGGAUAAGCCCUGUCUGGGAAACUGUGUAUUUAUACAUGUCAAAGACAAUUAAAAAACAAGCAUAAGUACUAAAGUAAACGAUAACAAACAUAUCAUCAUUAGUAAACGCCAACCCCAUUCUCUUCUAUUGUUACAGUUGUACAAAUGACAGCGCAUCAUUUUAUAUCAUUCUAUAACAGUUUGUUUUUACAAACUAUAUCAGCACGCUGAUAUAAAGUCAAAUCACACAACUACUAGAGCAAUAUUAAACAUUAGACUCAUUAGUGCCAAACUACUUGCUUCUGCUAUGGAUUCCUGAUACGGAUGAGUUUUUAUUGCAUGUGACAAGAAAGAGGGAAGAGCGUGACACAAAAAAAUUACAUACUAUGCUGUAUGCACUUGUUUAUCCUAGUACUUUCACACUUGUUUUAAGUGUCUGACAUGAAUUUACACACAAACCCUGUUUUCACAGACAAGACUUAAGGCUAGUCCUAUAGCAGUGUUUCCCAACCCUGGUCCUCGGGCACCCCCUCCCAGAAAGUUUUAGAUGUCUCCUUAUUUAACACACCUGAUUUAACUCAUCAGCUUGUUAGGGGCACAUGUUUACCAUUUUAGAAGGAGGCUGAUGAGUCGAAUCAGGAAAAACCAUCCAAAAUGUUCAUCUUGUCAAAAUCCAUUGUCCAUUAAACAUAUCCUUUUAGACUGUAUUACAUUUACCCCUGUAAGAAAUCGUUUUUACUCUGUUGAUAGUUUUGAAAAGGUUUUUAAUCAAGUGAGCCCAAGCAUGGUUUUAAGAUUUUUAGAGGAAAUAAAUUUGAAACAUCUAUUUUAAUCUUCCUUUGAUUUAAUUAUACUGUAUUCUCGCCAUGAAUAUAGCCUUUGAAGCUGGUAUGCCGUUAAAAAAGAAAGAAAGAAAAGAAAGUCGAAUCAGGUGUUUUAAAUAAGGAGACAUCUAAAACUUUCUGGGAGGGCGUGCCCGAGGACCAGGGUUGGGAAACACUGUCCUAGACAGUCUGCACUGGUGGCUGCAUUAUCCAAUCACAAAUAUGUAAUUGUACGGCUUCAAGCCUCCAUUACUAAUUUUAAAAUGACCAGUGGCAAAUGAUAGAAAUGGUAAAGCAGUUCACGGGAUGGUACUGGUGGAAUAUCUCUGGCGGUUGGGAAAGACACUCAGCCAGUCAGAUUCGAGAAACAGAAUAAACAUUUUCUAUAAAAAGCUAUAAUCACACUUUUACUCAAGCUAUAUUGUGUUAUUAAAUGAUUUAUUCUGCAUUUCACAAAAAGUCGAACCUGGUUGCAAUUAAUUACAAAUUUUAAGCAUUGUCUACUGAAGCUUAAAGCUAUUAUUCAUGUCUGUAUUUAUAAUGUUCACAUCCAGUGUAGACCGUCUCAAUCAGAUGUUCCAGCUGUGAUUCCUUCAUUGCAGAAACCUUAAAGUAUGUUCCACAUCGAGGAACAAGGAUCUGAGACGUACAGGUCCAAUUCCAAUUUGGAGGGAUGCUAAAUUGAUGACUGCUCACAUAUACUCACCGGCCACUUUAUUAGGUACAGCUUACUAGUACCGGGUUGGACCCCCUUUUGCCUUCAGAACUGCCUUAAUCCUUCGUGGCAUAGAUUCAACGAGGUACUGGAAAAAUUCCUCAGAGGUUUUGGUCCAUAUUCACAUGAUACCAUCAUGCAGUUGCUGUAGAUACGUUGGCUACACAUCCAUGAAGCGAAUCUCCAGUUCCACCACAUCCCAAAGGUGCUCUAUUGGGUUGAGAUCUGGUGACUCUGGAGGCCAUUUAAGUACAGUGAACUCACUGUCAUGUUCAAGAAACCAGUCUGAGAUUAUUUAUUCUGCCGGAAGUAGACAUCCGAAGAUGGGUACACUGUGGUCAUAAAGGGAUGUACAUGGUCAGAAUCAAUGCUCAGGUAGGCUGUGGCAUUGACACGAUGCUCAAUUGGUACUAAUGGGCCCAAAGCGUGCCAAGAGAAUAUCCCCCACACCAUUACACCAGCAGCUUGAACAUUGAUACAAGGCAGGAUGGAUCCACAUUCUCAUGUUGUUGACGCCAAAUUCUGACCCUACCAUCAGAAUGUCGCAGCAGAAAUCGAGACUCAUCAGACCAGGAAACGUUUUUCCAAUCUUCUUUUGUCCAAUUUUGGUGAGCUUGUGCGAAUUGUAGCCUCGUUUUCCUAUUCUUUGCUGUCAGGAGUGACACCCGGUGUGGUCUUCUGCUGCUGUAGCCCAUCCACCUCAAGGUUCGGCGUGUUGUGGGUUUAGAGAUGCUCUUCUGCAUACCUCACAUUUUUAUUUUGCUUUUACCUCCAUUGUACCGAACUGUGACGCCUGAAUAUAUAUAUAUAUAGCAUAGUAUAUACUAAAUUCUUUACUACAUUACCGUAACAUAUGUUGUAGCUGAAAUUAAUAAUAGGGUCUCUUUCCUCGGUUACAAACUGCACCACACUACAGCUGUAACAUGUAAGAUGGGAACUGUACCUCCUGGCUAAGCCUGGUUUUCUCACUGGGUUUUUAUUUCUGUCUCCCUGAAGAAGUUUCCCCCUUGACCAAUGUUUCUGUGUGGCUUGCUUACUAGGAAACUGCUGAUAUUAACCUUAUAACGUCUUUAGAAAAUUAUGUUAAUACUGGUAUAUAGUUUGGAGUUGGAGUAUAUUACAUACACUGUUCUCUCACUGUUCUAUUACUGUAUGUUCAUAAUUUAGCUUGGAAUGGAGUAAUUCUUAUUAUAUUAUUUAUAUAAGAAAUAACUCCAUGUAACCUCAAAUACUCCAUCCUUAACUGUAUUUAAAACUUUGAGGUUCUUUGCUUUUCUGUGUCGUCUUAUAUUCUAUUACAUGGACAGAUGAUUUGGUAAGAUGAACUAUUGUGAAAAGCACUGUAUAAAUAAUAUUGAAUUGAAUUAAAUUGAUGUUUGUUAAACAUUUUUGAAAGGAUAUUGUACUAAGACAUAAAGUUGGUGAAAUGCUCAAAAAUGUUUUGUAACCUUUAAAUAAUGGAAAGUAAGAAAGCUGGAUAUUGUAUUGUUUUGGAUUAUAAAAAUUAAUGUUUAAAGAAUAUUAUAUUUGUGAAAAUAAAGUUUUGAAAAUA